ensembl:lncRNA
AAAUGUACGAUACAAGUUCAUGGAAACAGCGAUGAACAGUCUGCACAGGAAAAGUACAGUGACAUGAAUCGAGGGCACCUCCUAAUUCAUAAAGGAUUUAAACAAAGACCACACAAGCUCUUCCCCAUUCCUUCCUGGUUCUUCUUGGCUGCAGCAGAGGAGGAUUCUGCAGGUUUUCCUACUGAUCAACUCCAGCUCUCAUCCUUUCUUUAUGGGCUGGGAUGACCUUCCCUCUUCCUUAACUUCCUCUCAACUUCCUCGCCUCCUCAAGCCUCUCUCUCUCUCUCUCUCUCUCUCUCUCUCUCUCUCUCUCUCUCUCUCUCUCUCUCUCUCUCUCUCUGUCUCUCUCUAUCUCUUAUGAAGUCUCCUUCUACCUCUGAACUCCCCUCACCUUCCUCCUCCUCCUCCUCCUCCUGUUCCUCCACCCCUCACCUUGCCCUCGACAUCCCCUCCGUAAGCUCAGCUUCCCUGUCCACUCUUCCUGCGGAGGUCUUUACUAGUCCCAGGAGGAGGGAGGCCAUUGUGGUCCAUUGUGGGCCGGCUCCCCCAGCGAUCCACAAAUGCUUCUCGGAGUGUAAGCCGUGAGUUCAUUCAUCCACCGUGCAUCGGUGUUUAGAGUGAGCUGCUAAUGUUGCUAAGGGUGCAAGCGUCCGUGGAGGACUGUGGCAAAGGAUGGCUGGCCAUAUGGUCACAUGGGCCAGACGGGGAGGCGGGCGUCGGCUGGGAAAGUGAGAGUUCUCAAUGGACGCCGGCCCCCCGGGGAGCUGUGGAUGUGGUGGAAGACGUUCGUCCCCCUGGAGAUGCAGGAGACCCUGCAUUCACCUUUUCACCGCCUCAACCCGCAUCCGAUCUCAC